rnacentral:rRNA from 1 species
UACGGAGGGUGCAAGCGUUAUCCGGAUUUACUGGGUUUAAAGGGUGUGUAGGCGGGCUUUUAAGUCAGUGGUGAAAUCUCCGGGCUCAACCCGGAAACUGCCAUUGAUACUAUUAGUCUUGAAUUUUGUUGAGGUAGGCGGAAUAAGUCAUGUAGCGGUGAAAUGCUUAGAUAUGACUUAGAACACCAAUUGCGAAGGCAGCUUGCUAAACAAACAUUGACGCUGAGGCACGAAGGCCAGGGGAGCAAACGGG